CGCAGAGACUGUCCCUUUAAACCUUCGUCCCUUUAAACCGUACCCAAAUAAACGCUUUCGAUUCGCGUAGGCAGACCAGGCUAGCUCUCUCUGACCGGGCCAUGUGACGUAUUUUUAGUCAUAUGGUCCUAGUGAGAGUAACCCGCCGGCUAGGGAGUCUAGGAGUGUUAACUGGUUAUUUAACAGAGUAGAAGAUGAGAGAGAGACUGGGAUGUGUGAUGGAUGAGUGACAGGGAGAAGAAGGGUGUAAUCUGUUUGACUGUUGCCACGGUGACGGUGGUGGUGGGCAUGAUACAGAUGCGGGAGGUGGAGUUUGUGCCCGAUAGAGACAUGCAGCUGGACAAAUUGUGUUGGUCAUUGGUCAGACUGGAGUUUACAUGUGUACCUCCUUCACCAUCAUUGGUGGACACUUCACCAUGAGUGAUGCUUGAGCUGUCACGGUGCUGCUGCUGCUGUCUGCCAUCAUCACCCUGACACAGACCACCCUGCAGACCACCUUCAUCCUGGGUGCCACACGUCACUGCUGCUACAACUCAGAGCAACUGGAGCGCAAGCCAGGAAGGGAGAUGUGUUGCCACGGUGACGGUGGUGGUGGGCAUGACACAGAUGCGGGAGGUGGAGGUUGUGCCCGAUGGAGACAUGCAGCUGGGACAAUUGUGUUGGUCAUUGGUCAGACUGGAGUUUACAUGUGUACCUCCUUCACCAUCAUUGGUGGACACUUCACCUUGAGUGAUGCUUGAGCUGUCAUGGUGCUGCUGCUGUUGUCUGCCAUCAUCCCCCUGACACAGACCACCCUGCAGACCACCUUCAUCCUGGGUGCCACACGUCACUGCUGCUACAACUCAGAGCAAC